AACGCACAUUGCGCCCCUUGGUAUUCCAUGGGGCAUGCUUGUUCGAGCGUCAUUUGUACUCUCAAGCUCUGCUAGGUGUUGGGUGUUUGUCCUGCCCUCUGCGGCUGGACUCGCCUUAAAUAUAUUGGCAGCCGAUGUAUUGGUUUGAAGCGCAGCACAAUUUGCGAUUCUGGCUGGUAGCAUCAGCGUCCAUGAAGCACUAUUUAACACUUUUGACCUCGGAUCAAGUAGGGAUACCCGCUGAACUUAA
rnacentral:misc_RNA from 1 species